ensembl:lncRNA
UUAGGGUGGGGGGGCGGGGGGGGGCAGAGGUUGAGUGGGUUAAUGUGUAGGGUGUGCUUCUGCAUGAAUGUCAGCAUAUGUGUGCGUGUGCGUGUUAGGGGCAGCUGGUCCUCGGAAAGAGGAGUGAGCCAUCAUCCGGAGGCAAGCCCCUCCCUCGCAGCACCGCACCCUCCCCCUCGCCUCUCACCUCUAACCUCUCACCCCUCACCCUCAACAGCAGCAUGAUACGGCUUUGAGAGCAUUGGGGUGAGCUAGGCCGCGUUCUGCUUGCAUCAGCAUCCUCUGUGUCCUCCAAAUUGCCUUCGAAAGCACUUAGUUCAAUAGGAGGGGAUGGGGGGGGGCGGCUAAGGACUGUUUCUGUCGUGUUUGCCAUGUUUGCAGCAUUUGCAUGGCAUCGGCACCGACACUGAGGGACAACAAGAAUUGUAGAAGUUGAUGUAAAUGCGCAGCUCGCACUGAGGUCCUCGGGGUUGGGUGAACAGAAGGGCUGUUUUUGGGGUUCACACAGUAUCGAAGGGGAAACUGAAUUGACUCAAAGAGACACAAUUUGUUGAAGAUGGCCACAAACUAAAUCCUUUUUAUUCCAUUUUAUUUUAUGCACUACACAAUAUCAAUAUAUGGAGACAAGUGAACGAUGGAAAGGUGGCAAGGAAAAAGGCAUCAGAGAGGUUCCUUGCCCUUCCUCAUGUGUCACCAGUCUGAUUGUCUUCCCAGAUUCCUGGUUGUGUCCACCUAUUCCCACACUUCCCUCGUGUGUACUUAUAGUCUGCGUCUCCCCUUGUCCUGCGCCAGUGGGUCAUGUCCUUUCGUCUUGGCACACAUCAUUUUGUAUUGCCCAGCUCUAUUAGUUUAGCCAGAGCAUUUCCCCGUCCAUCCCUCUCCGGAGGGGUUUUUGGUUUCCCGGGAUUUCCCUGUGUAUUUUUGUUGGGAAAUAAAAUCUUGUCAGCUGAACCUCUACUCUGUGUACGAGUCCUCCUCAAGAGCUCCCUUCGUGACAAAAAUAUUUCACUUUUUCGUUCCGAGCAAACUUCAGCCACCUUUUCAACGAUUCAGCAAUGAUCUUCAAGGGUCACUAAAGGCCAGGUAACGCUCCGAGGUAGUUGGUUUGUAUGAUGUGUUGGCUGUAAGAGGUCAGA